UACGAAGGGGGCUAGCGUUGUCCGGAAUUAUUGGGCGUAAAGGGCUCGUAGGCGGUUUGUCGCGUCGGGAGUGAAAACCCAGGGCUUAACCCUGGGCUGGCUUCCGAUACGGGCAGACUAGAGGUAUGCAGGGGAGAACGGAAUUCCUGGUGUAGCGGUGAAAUGCGCAGAUAUCAGGAGGAACACCGGUGGCGAAGGCGGUUCUCUGGGCAUUACCUGACGCUGAGGAGCGAAAGUGUGGGGAGCGAACAGG
rnacentral:rRNA from 1 species